rnacentral:tRNA from 1 species
UGCCGUGCUGCGGGACCGGAAGCUGGGCCGGUUCUGGCGGGACCGGGAGCCGUCGGAGUGGUGGGAGCCGUUCAACCUGCUGCACCGCAACCA